GGAAGAGAGGAGAGAGGAGGAGGGUUAGAUGUAGAGAGGAGGAGAGUUGAGCCCGUGUGACGCAAAGGAGCGAAGAGAGAAGAUUAAUCCCUGCUCACGGCGAAGACGGGAGUCCCGAUGACCCCUGUGCAAAGACAACCCGAACACAGACAGGUGUUGUAAAGAGUGACCGGUAGAGCGGAAAUGGCGCGAGACCAGCAUGUCGUUGCCGAGUCGGAUGUUUCGGAGGUGUUCCUCUGGAUUCAAAUUCUGCGUGGUCAACUUU